rnacentral:rRNA from 1 species
AUUGAACGCUGGCGGCAUGCCUUACACAUGCAAGUCGAACGGCAGCACGGGUGCUUGCACCUGGUGGCGAGUGGCGAACGGGUGAGUAAUACAUCGGAACGUACCUUAUCGUGGGGGAUAACGCAGCGAAAGUUGCGCUAAUACCGCAUACGCCCUGAGGGGGAAAGCGGGGGACCGUAAGGCCUCGCGCGAUUAGAGCGGCCGAUGUCUGAUUAGCUUGUUGGGGAGGUAAAAGCUCACCAAGGCGAUGAACAGUAGCUGGUCUGAGAGGACGAUCAGCCACACUGGGACUGAGACACGGCCCAGACUCCUACGGGAGGCAGCAGUGGGGAAUUUUGGACAAUGGGGGCAACCCUGAUCCAGCAAUGCCGCGUGAGUGAAGAAGGCCUUCGGGUUGUAAAGCUCUUUUGUCAGGGAAGAAACAGCAGCUCUAACACAGUCUGCGAAUGACGGUACCUGAAGAAUAAGCACCGGCUAACUACGUGCCAGCAGCCGCGGUAA